UCGUAAUAAGACUUUCAAAUCGGAGUUCUUUCUGAGUCUGAUUUUCCCCAUAUGCGGACACAGAGGGCAAUACACCCAACACCAGAGCUCUCGUGACUGCUGAGCUCACGGACGGAGGACGGACGCGGAAGGGCUGCCUGGCUGGAGGCAGACACUGAGCUGAGCCCGGUCAGCCCCUCGCCCGUGGGAACCCCCCACACUGCUCCAGGGCUGAGCACGCAGUGACAGGUGUAUGUCUAGGCCCGAGUGCAGCAGGACUUUUUUUUCAGCUCCGAGAACAGCUGACAACUGCAAAACCGUGCAGAUGGCCACAUGGAAGAAUCUGCUUGGAUGAUAAGAUAGUUUAAAAGAGAAAUCACCUUACUGCACAUCACAUCCUGAACGACUGUCAAACUAGGUCAGGAACCGUGUUUGAUUGGACCGUGCCAAAAUAUUUAACGAAUUGAAUUUCCCAGAGUUUACGACAACUACGGCCACAGCAGCCCGGAACUCACGCCCGAUGUCUCUUUCAUCCCUUUGUUUAUAAAGCCUGGCCUAGGACCGUGACAAGCAGCCUGGGCAGUGUGCCUGUGGACCUGGCCAGCUGCUACAAGGACCCCACGAUGGUCUUUCUCAUGACGACGUGGCUGACCUGACGACGACUGACGCAAACAUAAUCGUGGUAAAAUACGGAGCGCCUGACGGUAGGGUGCAGGCACUCAGCCAACCCCUGAGCCUCAGUAUGCUUAAGUAGGUUUGUAAAUGCGCAAAAACGUGAAGCCAGGUGUUUAUCAGAGAAAAGAGUCUCUUUGUAGGAAAGAAAGAACGUCCUCUUGAUCUGAGAAACACAGCACUCCAGAAGGAGACGUCCGCUCUUGGCGGCGAUGGCUGGCCUCUGCCUUGAACAGCAAACUUGCAGAUUAAUGAAGAUAGUAAAAUAUAACACCUUCCUUCUGCCUCCAGGUGUAAUAUUUUAUUCAUAAAAGAGCCGGGUGAGCCUUGAUUUAUAUGGACUUUCAUUAAUAGGCAAGAUUCAAUCACAAGGCUUCCACCA
rnacentral:lncRNA from 1 species